CUGCCCCGCCCCGUCUCCAUGGCAACGGGCGUGUGCCUAGCCCCAGCGCUGGCUGCGGCGGAACCCACGGCGUACCUUCCCGCCUCCAACAAACUAUCCGGUUGCUGAGGUUGAUUUAGCAACACCCCAGGGCAUCUGGGUUGGCAGGAGCACCACAAUGAGAGCCUGGCCCAGGCUCGGGUACGGGAGGCAGCCCAGUGGCCCGCAGUAGAGGGCCAGGCUGGGGACCAGGGAGCUGGGGCUGAGGAGAAUUUGUACAGGCUAGGGAGCGCAGCACAGCAGUAUCAGCCUCUGGCAUUUGUACCACCUUUAGUCCUGCCACUUUCUCUCACUGUGGCUUCGCAACAGACUUGGGAACCAAGAAAGGCAUAGGUGAGGAAGCUGAAGCCCAGUCUGGGCUCGCGGAAGAAACUGGUGGAUCCAACUUCUGCAUAGCGCAAAUAUCUGCUUCCUGCCUCCACCCACCCAUUCCCACUUCCCCUGAUGGGGGAACUCUAGAGCCCCACAUCAGAGUUCAACAUGUGCCUCAGGAGCUUCAGCACCUCUUUUGUGGGAGGAGAGUCCGCUGGUGACUGGGGCUGCAGGCCAUGACAUCAGCCUGCCCAGCUUCACCUCAGGCUGCUUCCAACAGUGCCAAGUGAAGUCCCUUGGCAGGAUCCCUGCAAGGCAGCGGCUGGCCACCAGGAGGCAGCAGCCUACUCUGCAAGGCACUUUCUUCAUUCCAACCCCUUGUAACAGGUCUGAGGAAACCUGUUCGCCCAGCCAUGUGCUGCAACCAUCCUCCACUCCCAAUCUUAUCUCCCAAUAGCACAGAUUCCCCUAUCAUGAGUCCAGACUUGGCCUUCAUCUCCUUUUGCCUUCCUCUGUCCAAGGAAUCACUACAGAGAUUCUUUCUCUAUCCUUCUUUGUAAAUUUCCAGAAAAUUGUUUCCCCAGGGCCCCUCCCCUUGAAGAAAUUAAACAGGAAGCUGGAGUAGACUGUCCCUUCUUUCCCCCACCUCUCACACUCCAAAGCUCUGUUUAACUCUGUGGGCCAGUGGCUAGAUUCCCCAACAUGGAUGACAGAGAAUACACAUGCAAUAAGAAUGCUUUCGCUGCCACCAGCCACUCACAGACACACUGUCUCCCACCCUCUGAAGGCAUUGUGCCCAAUCCCCAGCCACUCACUGUCUAGUCAGGGCUGCCCCUGCAGGACUUGCCUUGGCUGAGGACCAGCUAGCUUCAAGCCAGUCUGAAGUCAGCUUGCUGUUUCCCCUGGAGCCUGGUAAUACAUCCUUCUUCAGGAGAACAAAAGCAGAAAAAGCCCAGUGAACCCCACUGCAACAAAGAGCCUGCCAUCAGUCUUCCUUCUGUUCCUGCCUAUCUCAUCACCCAAGGGCUAUCCCAGAGCCCACUAUGUUCUAAGAUCUAUUCCUUUCACCACCACCCAGCCAAACAACUAUCCAGACAAUUCCUUGAUCAAACAACACUGCCUUCUUGAGUUUAAAUUUUAUUUUACAAAAAGAGAAAUAAAGAAAACUGAUAGGCAGUUAUACUGACUUACAAUUGUUCUGUUUGCUUUUUUUUAAAAAAGUGACAUGAAACACAAGUAAAAAUAAAUACGUCAUAGAAACAGCCAGUUGCCCAGUCUCUGGGGCAGGAGCGCCUGCCCUGCUGAGAGGAGGGAAGCCCAUGAUCACACCAGCAGCUGGAUCACCCAGCCACAGAUGCUCCUCAAAGCCAGGCACAGGUCCCAGGCCUCAGGGGCGUCCUGAGGAAAGAAGACGGAAAACCAAAGCCAGGUGCCAGGACCCUGGGGCCACCUCAUUAUCCCCCACUCCUCCUGGCAGCAGUCUGGUCUUAGUGGUUAUCCAUAGCGACCCCCCUUAACCCACCUGGACCCUCUUCCCCUGACCUCUCUGAAGAUGGUACAAGGGAAAAACCUGUCUUGGGCAGGCUGGGGGGGAUUCUUCUGGUGAGUCCCCAGCCUACCCUGAGUAACACAACCAGAUAACAGUCAUUUUACACCCAGGUGCACAUGAGCACAGCACACACACACACACACACACACACACACACAGCUGGGCUGAGCUCUCUUCCAGGGAGGGUCCUGGGUCCAGUCACAGUAUGAGGUCCUCUCUCUUCUGAAUAUCAUCCCAGUAGUGGCAGCAGAGAGUACCCAAACCUCCCCAAGCCCUCUGCAUUGCAGACACUGCAGCCUGCUUGGCUACCCCUCCCCAACACACUAGAUUACUAUGUCAAAUAGACCUGCAAAAGGGAAAGGUGCACACUCAGGUCCCUGAAGAGCAAAGAAGUUGGACACUGCCUGCUCAAGAAGUUCAUCGUUAUAAGACUCAGGUAUUCACAAAAGGCCUAGGGCUAAGCUAGUAGCACAGAAAAGCCGUUAAGGGGAUCACAGCAGAAUACACACGGCAGAAGAGAAGAGUUGGCAGCAGGGGAACGGAGUCUCAAGGUGAACAAUGGAGAGCACAGCAUUCUCAAAUAGUCCUUGAGGUGCUGAUUCCUGGGAGUAGUCAGCAGAGGGCCAGAACAUCUCCCGGGGGUCCUUUUGGGGAAGGAUGACUUCACUUAGUUUUAGGGGUGAAGAGCCACUGAGCUGGGUGCACAGAAGGCCAUGGCUCAGAAGGGAAAGACUGAUCUAAGAAAUCAAAAGGAAGUGGGGGCCGGGAGCAGUGGCUCACGCCUGUAAUCCCGUCACUGGGAGGCUGAGGAGGGCGGAUCACUUGAGGUCAGGAGUUCAAGGCCAGCCUGGCCAACAUGGUGAAACCCCGUCUCUACUAAAAAAUACACAAAUUAGCUGGGCAUGGUGGUGUGCACCUGUAAUCCCAGCUACUUGGGAGGCUGAGGCAGGAGGAUCGCUUGAACCCCGGAGUGGAGGUUGCACGGAGCCAAGAUCACACCACUGCACUCAAGCCUGGGUGACAGAGCAAGACUCUGUCUCAAAAAAAAAAAAAAAAAAAAGGAAGUGGGAAGCAGAAGGUAAUAUCCAGAACACUAGUAACAAGGAAUGUAAAGCCCCCAGAAGACCUUCCCCAUGGGAUGAGGACUCAAUUUCAGAGCAAUGCCAGGUUUGAAUAGACUGACACAGAGGGCCCUUCUCUGCUGACAACUUUGGGAGUGAUGGUCGUACCCAGGCCACUUAAGUUUGGCUAAGUGUUUCAACCAAUCUGCAAAACUUUACCGCAGCACUUUGCUUCCUGCUCCUGAAUUGAGAAAUUUCAUAUUUAGUUGUGAAUCACAAGCAUAUAGAGACUCCACACACUAAUUCCUAGGGAAGAGAGCUCCAAGGACCAGACAGAAUUAUCCUUAAAUCAGGAGAUGAUGACAUAGAUGCCUAAAAAGCGUAACUCAAAGGGGUGUGGACUUCAUAGAUAUCCAAUCUAAAGAAAAUGAUAUGACCCAACAUGGUUCACUUCCUUUCUUAAAUAGCUACUUUGUCCCUGUUCAAUUUUUAUCUACAAAUAUAUUAAGAAAAGGAAAUCAAGCAUCACUAUAAAUGGUAAACCUCAAUCAUUAAGUAGUACUGUGUUCCCCAGGCUGAGAACUUGGCUAAACCAGAUGAAUGGGGCUUGAGAGGCCCUUGAAAACAUUCCAUGGAAGACAAUGGUAAGGGAAAAUGCCUAGGCCUGAUUUUCUGCCCUCCCUCUUAUGACCAGCCACCCUGCCCCCCUCAGGCCUGGAUAAUGGGUGGAAGACACCACCAAGUGUUUAUGAUCAAAGAAACUAUAAAACAUGGUUCUUAGGCUCUGAGAUACUUCCUGCUUCCCUCACAAACAUGCUUAUGUUUGGUGCGCAUGCACAUUUGCCUACCAGCACAUAUAAAGAGACAGCGGAAAAGUCAGAAGUGUUUUCAGGUUAUUUUCUUUAAAAAAAAAAAAAAAAGCAAAAACCAUGGACCUGGUAGCACUCCAAUUUCCCAUGAUCCCACCCCCAACCCCUCUACACAAUAGAAACUGCACAUAUAAAAGAAAGCCUUCUCUAGUCAGGUCAGCCUCCCAGAAUGAUGGCCUCUGCUGAGUAGAAGCAAGACCCAGUCCCUGGAACACUGGAUAGACAGUAGGCAUGUGCUGCCUCUCAGAAUACCCAUUUACUUUCUGUCAACUUCAAAAGCCAAGCCCGUCCCUCCAGGGAAUGGUUUCAGUUCCCGGCCGGGAAGGUUUCCGGAUUCUUGGAGGCUAGUACAGUGAUUUCCUAGAAGUGAACACAGAAAUACUACCCCCUUCUCCCGACAACACACACACACAGACAUACACAUGCACACAUGCAUCUCUGGGAUGCCAGUGCUCCAGGGCCUGAGAGGCAUCAGUGUAACCCAGGUUCUGAGUGUGUCCCAUAAACUGGAGAUUCAGUCUAGCUCGCUCCUACUGCACCAGCCUCAACCUGAGAGCUCACUCCAACUGAGUCCCUUCACCAUCCAUUCUUGGGAUGCAUCUGAAAGAGAAAGCACUGGUUGGAACUGCUAUUUUUAAAUUAUUAAAAUAAUUUGCAUAGCUAAAUUGUAGAUCUAAGGCUUCCAUGAGUAGAAGAGUUAAGUGUCUGGCAGGGUGCUUAUGAAAACACAAAGCUUCUUAAGUUCCACUUUUGGUGUUAUUGGACAGCAGACAAACACACAUAUACACAUGCACCCCAUCCAUCAUCUCCUUGUCUCUUCUCUGAGGACAAUACCCCAGAGUCUGCUAAGGCCCUCCAAAGAUGGAAAUGGGCUGGUCAGAAGAGCUAUAGGAGCUACUACUGGGAUGACCUGACUAAGCUGCCUUCUGGGCUGGGAAGAGGCAGGUACAGCACCUGCCCAGUAAGGAGGGAGCCAUGGGUAAGUGGUAAAGCUCUAAAGCCAAAGUUUGUUCAUCAUAAAGAACCAUCUGGCAAAGUGUUGGGGUGGGGGAUACAGAGGGGGCGGGGACACCAGUAGGAAGACAGCCAGUGUUUAUGCUUAAGGACUAGACGACCCUCCCCUGGCAACGGCAAUAAGGAGAGACCCAGAAUGACUGGUAUGUUAAGAUAAAACCCAGACUUAGGGCUCCUACAGAGAAAGGGCUCCUCCAUGUUCCUUCAAAGAUGGAGGCAGCAGACACCAGGCCUACAUGGACCACCUGAAGAUAUUUUCUAACAUGAAAUCAAUAGUCCCUCAACCCAGCAACCACCUAUCCACAGCUUCACUAUUCAGCAUAGAGAGCCAACCUCUAACAUCAUCCCAGGAGGACAUAGCUCCAAAUCUGGGGUCUCUUACUUCCCAAUUGCAAACUCCACGAUCAUAACUUUCGAUUUCUGUGGAAUGAGUCCCACCCUCCACUAACUAUCCAGUCUCAGGAUUCCCUGAUCUUCCUGAAAAGCCAUCUCUCAAAAAUAUAGUUGUUUAAUCCAAACCUUGGUCAAACCUAACUCUUUCCCUGGUCAAUUUGCCAUCCAUCCAGGAUUGUUUUUCACCAGUGGCUAUAGGGUCUGGGAUAUCUUAAAACUUCCCUUUCUAUCACCUACCCUCCUCACCCCUAACCUCCCCCCACCCCCAAAUAAACAAGACACAUGAAAAGUCCAAGUAAUAAAUAAUUGCCCAUAAGAAAUAAAUUAACAUGGAGCUCUCUAAAGGGGAAGGAAAGGAACAGGAAAGACUACCAGGAUAGGCAGCUGGGGGCUCAGUUCUACCCUGGUGAAAAAUGUAUUUUCCAGCCACAACUCUGCGACCUUUCAUUCAUGUACUGCAGUGCUUCUCCCUCCCAGCCUCUGCACACAGACAACCUUCCAAGCUGGAAAGGGAGAGCUGCUCA